rnacentral:rRNA from 1 species
CCUACGGGAGGCAGCAGUAAGGAAUAUUGGACAAUGGACGCAAGUCUGAUCCAGCCAUGCCGCGUGAAGGAUUAAGGCCCUCUGGGUUGUAAACUUCUUUUAUAGGGGACGAAAAAAGGGCUUUCUAGCUCGACUGACGGUACCCUAUGAAUAAGCACCGGCUAACUCCGUGCCAGCAGCCGCGGUAAUACGGAGGGUGCAAGCGUUAUCCGGAUUCACUGGGUUUAAAGGGUGCGUAGGCGGGUAGGUAAGUCAGUGGUGAAAUCUUCGAGCUCAACUCGGAAACUGCCAUUGAUACUAUUUAUCUUGAAUAUUGUGGAGGUGAGCGGAGUAUGUCAUGUAGCGGUGAAAUGCUUAGAUAUGACAUAGAACACCAAUUGCGUAGGCAGCUCGCUACACAUAUAUUGACGCUGAGGCACGAAAGCGUGGGGAUCAAACAGGAUUAGAUACCCUGGUAGUCCACGCCCUAAACUAUGAUUACUCGACAUAUGCGAUACACAGUAUGUGUCUGAGCGAAAGCAUUAAGUAAUCCACCUGGAAGUACGACCGCAAGUUGAAACUUAAAUGAAUUGACCGGNNGAGAGNGCGAGGACGACACGAGGGAGGAG